CCUGGUAGCUCAGAUGGUAAAGCGUCUGCCUCCAAUGCGGGAGACCCAGGUUCGAUCCCUGGGUCAGGA
rnacentral:tRNA from 1 species